UAACACUCGUAGGUCUGAGGUAUUAGAGCAGGACUGUGAGAUGAGUUCUAUUCACAGUUUCUUGUCAAAGUUUCCCGAGGAAUUUGACGUCAAUGAACUAGUACAUAAUUCAGUUGAACUGUUCAAUAAAAUACCAGCACACAAGAUAGCAAGCACUGGGAAUAUAAGACUGAAUUCAAGGUUGAUUUCAUUUGGAUCAAUCGUGACCAGAGACACUUUGAGUGGUUCAUGGAGCUACUGAAUGAACUGGAAAUGGAACAGAAUGAAUAUGGAACACUAAUGGAUCGGUUCCUUGAUAUGCACAUGUACAUCACAUCAGCUUUACAAAGGACUGAUGUUAAAGCAUUAGGACUACAAAUGGCUCUUGAUCUGAUACACAAAGAAAAGAACAUUGAUCUUAUAACUGGACUGAAGACCAGGACACAGACUGGUAGACCUAACUGG